rnacentral:rRNA from 1 species
ACUCCUACGGGAGGCAGCAGUGGGGAAUAUUGGACAAUGGGCGCAAGCCUGAUCCAGCCAUGCCGCGUGAGUGAUGAAGGCCCUAGGGUUGUAAAGCUCUUUUGUGCGGGAAGAUAAUGACGGUACCGCAAGAAUAAGCCCCGGCUAACUUCGUGCCAGCAGCCGCGGUAAUACGAAGGGGGCUAGCGUUGCUCGGAAUCACUGGGCGUAAAGGGUGCGUAGGCGGGUCUUUAAGUCAGGGGUGAAAUCCUGGAGCUCAACUCCAGAACUGCCUUUGAUACUGAAGAUCUUGAGUUCGGGAGAGGUGAGUGGAACUGCGAGUGUAGAGGUGAAAUUCGUAGAUAUUCGCAAGAACACCAGUGGCGAAGGCGGCUCACUGGCCCGAUACUGACGCUGAGGCACGAAAGCGUGGGGAGCAAACAGGAUUAGAAACCCGUGUAGUCCCAUG